rnacentral:rRNA from 1 species
UACGUAGGGUGCGAGCGUUUGUCCGGAAUUACUGGGCGUAAAGGGCGCGUAGGUGGCCUUCUAAGUUGAACGUGAAAUCCCUGGGCUCAACCCAGGAACUGCGUCCAAGACUGGGAGGCUUGAAUCCGGGAGAGGGAUGCGGAAUUCCAGGUGUAGCGGUGAAAUGCGUAGAUAUCUGGAGGAACACCGGUGGCGAAGGCGGCAUCCUGGACCGGUAUUGACACUGAGGCGCGAAAGCCAGGGGAGCAAACGGG